rnacentral:lncRNA from 1 species
CGCCAAAUGAACUUUAUGGAGACCCGUGGGGGAGGACAAGAACAGGGGCGGGGCCGGGGGCGGGGCGGAGGUGGGGCCUUGGGCCAAACCGUCACCCCUGGGCCACAGGCAGCCACGGACCUCGCCUUUCCCACUUGGUUAGAGUCGGCUCUGCCGGGAGAAAGCGAUUCCAGAAUUCCCUAAGUUAAAGGAAUUUCUUACUCCUUCUUGAGCGCCAUCCAAGGGCCAGGCCUUAGUCUAGGAACUGGCAACACCGUGGCGACCACGUCAGACAAGAUCGCUGCCCUCAUUGAGUUCCCAGGUUGGCAGGGGAAACAAAAAUGUAAUAAAUAACUGCACUUUGCAAGAAGAGCUAUGAAGAAAAAACAGGGUGAUGGGAGAGAGAAUGCUUGGAUGUUGAAGGGAGGCCUUUCUGAGAUGGCGACAUCUUGAGCUGAAUAAAGAAGGAUGAGAAAGGAUGGGGCUUGCAAAGUUCUGGCUUCAAAGAAUUCCAGGCAGAGGGAACAAGAGUGAAGUCUCCAGGGGAAGCCAGCUUAGUGUUUGGAGACUAGAAAGAAGGGGUGUGCGGCUGGAAGAUGAAACCCAUAAUUCCAAUUUAAGAAUGAGGAAAACAUCAGAGAGAUUCCAGCAGAGGGAUAUCCCACAAUGCAUCCGCUCAGGACUCCUCAAAACUUUCAAGGUUACCAAAGCAAGGAGAAUCUGACAAAAUGAUCACAGCCCAGAAAAGCCUAUGAAGAUCCGCAAACUACGUGGUAUCUUGGAUGGGACCCUGGAACAGAAAAUAGGCAUUAGGCAAGAAAUCGAGAAAAUCUGAAUGGCACUGGACUUUAGUAAAUUUUUUUUAAAAUUGUUUGUUUGUUUGUUUGUUUUUGAGACAAGGUCUUGCUCUGUCACCUAGGCUGGGGUGCAGUGGCACCCUCACGACUCACUACAGCCUCAAACUCCUGGGCUAAAACAAUCCUCCUACCUCAGCCUCCCGAAUAGCUGAGACCACAUGUGCAUGCCACCACGCCUGGCUAAUUUGUUGUUGUUGUAUUUUUUGUAGAGACAGG